rnacentral:lncRNA from 1 species
GUAAAGUAAAUAAAGAGAACAUAAUUAAAAGACUGCAGAUGCUAGGAAGUACCAUACAAGGCAAGAAAAAAAAUUUUUAAUCUAGCUAUGAACUUUUUAAAUCAAGCAUACUACUAAAUUCUUUAUCUUGUAAGAACAUAUUUGUAAUUUUUUAAGAUUUCUUUCUAAGCAACUGAGUGAAAACAGAAAUAGCCUCAGACAAGAAAUAUUUCACAAAUUGAAAAUAAGCUCAUACCCAUUAUAGAGAAUUUCUUUGGUCUCCUUAGUGACCAACUAACCAAUUAAAUUUAACCUCAGCCUGUCUAUAUGACUAUUGAAUUUUAUGAUUCUACACUUUAAUUUUACUUGUUUGCAUAUAAUUCUUUUUUAAUCUGCUCAAAUGCUGUGCUUUAAGAUAUUUUUGUUAUUUCUUUGGUUUAGCUUGCAUAUUCUUUCUUCCUAUCUAACCAUCUAUCUAUCCAUCCAUCCAACUAUUCAUCCAUGAAGCACUAAGUGCCUAUUUAUAUGUUAAAGAUUAUUCUAGUCUCUGAAGAAGAAACAUUGAUCAAAUAGAUGAUCCAUGUUUUCUUCAAAGGUGUAUAUUGAUGAGAGAGAAAAAUUAAUAAAAACAAACUUGGUUCUCAAUUAAUGCUUAUUUUAGAAAAACAAGAAUGAUUCCAUGCAAUGGAAAAGGCAUGGAUCCUUCUGAUGGGAUGGUUAGAAACCCUGACGUAGAUUGCUUCGGUGUUUUGCUGUUUGCUACCUUUAAAGUGUCUAUCUUUGGUCCAAAUGUUUGCAUCUUCUCAUUCUCAGAUAUGCAUCAACAUUCUCCUGGUCAAGCAAUUUCCUGAAUGAUGCCCUACACAAUAUUGGUUAAUGACAUUUGGGUGACCAUUGUGUUUUAGAUGAUUAGAUGAUAAUUAUAACAAAUAUAUCAGGCCCAAUGUCUUAAUGAAGUUUCUUUUCUCAUACUCUCAGCACACCCGUAUUUAUAAGACUAGUAUAGAGAUAAUCACAGAGGAAUAAAGAACAGAAAACUGCUUUGGUAUUCUUUGAGGAUUUUUGAUCACCAAUUUCAAUAUCACAUUAUUAC